rnacentral:rRNA from 1 species
UGUAUGCUUUGGAAACUGUUAGACUUGAGUGCAGAAGGGGAGAGUGGAAUUCCAUGUGUAGCGGUGAAAUGCGUAGAUAUAUGGAGGAACACCGGUGGCGAAAGCGGCUCUNUGGUCUGUCACUGACGCUGAGGCUCGAGAGCGUGGGUAGCGAACAGGAUUAGAUACCCUGGUAGUNCACGCCGUAAACGCUGAGUGCUAGGUGUUAGGUCCUUUCCGGGACUUAGUGCCGACGCUAACGCAUUAAGCACUCCGCCUGGGGAGUACGACCGCAAGGUUGAAACUCAAAGGAAUUGACGGGGGCCCGCACAAGCGGUGGAGCAUGUGGUUUAAUUCGAAGCAACGCGAAGAACCUUACCAGGUCUUGACAUCCCGAUGCCCGCUCUAGAGAUAGAGUUUUACUUUUUGUACAUCGGAGACAGGUGGUGCAUGGUUGUCGUCAGCUCGUGUCGUGAGAUGUUGGGUUAANNNNNNNNNNGAGCGCAACCCUUAUUGUUAGUUGCCAUCAUUAAGUUGGGCACUCUAGCGAGACUGCCAGUAAUAAACCGGAGGAAGGUGGGGAUGACGUCAAAUCAUCAUGCCCCUUAUGACCUGGGCUACACACGUGCUACAAUGGUUGGUACAACGAGUCGCAAGCCGGUGACGGCAAGCUAAUCUCUGAAAGCCAAUCUCAGUUCGGAUUGUAGGCUGCAACUCGCCUACAUGAAGUCGGAAUCGCUAGUAAUCGCGGAUCAGCACGCCGCGGUGAAUACGUUCCCGGGCCUUG